UACGUAGGGUGCAAGCGUUAAUCGGAAUUACUGGGCGUAAAGCGUGCGCAGGCGGUUAUGCAAGACAGAUGUGAAAUCCCCGGGCUCAACCUGGGAACUGCAUUUGUGACUGCAUGACUAGAGUACGGCAGAGGGGAUGGAAUUCCGCGUGUAGCAGUGAAAUGCGUAGAUAUGCGGAGGAACACCGAUGGCGAAGGCAAUCCCCUGGGCCUGCACUGACGCUCAUGCACGAAAGCGUGGGGAGCAAACAGG
rnacentral:rRNA from 1 species